GACGAACGCUGGCGGCGUGCUUAACACAUGCAAGUCGAACGAUGAAGCCGGAGCUUGCUCCGGUGGAUUAGUGGCGAACGGGUGAGUAACACGUGAGCAAUCUGCCCUUGACUCUGGGAUAACUGCGGGAAACUGUAGCUAAUACCGGAUACGACACCUUGGGGCAUCCCAGGGUGUGGAAAGAAUUCCGGUCAAGGAUGAGCUCGCGGCCUAUCAGCUAGUUGGUGAGGUAAUGGCUCACCAAGGCGACGACGGGUAGCCGGCCUGAGAGGGUGACCGGCCACACUGGAACUGAGACACGGUCCAGACUCCUACUGGAGGCAGCAGUGGGGAAUAUUGCACAAUGGGCGAAAGCCUGAUGCAGCAACGCCGCGUGAGGGAUGAAGGCCUUCGGGUUGUAAACCUCUUUUAGCAGGGAAGAAGCGAAAGUGACGGUACCUGCAGAAAAAGCACCGGCUAACUACGUGCCAGCCGCCGCGGUAA
rnacentral:rRNA from 1 species